rnacentral:rRNA from 1 species
UACGUAGGGGGCGAGCGUUGUCCGGAAUCAUUGGGCGUAAAGGGUGCGUAGGCGGUUUGCUAAGUUUGAUGUGAAAUCCCGGGGCUUAACCCCAGGACUGCAUUGAAUACUGGCGGACUAGAGUACUGGAGAGGAAACUGGAAUUUACGGUGUAGCAGUGAAAUGCGUAGAGAUCGUAAGGAAGACCAGUGGCGAAGGCGAGUUUCUGGACAGUUACUGACGCUGAGGCACGAAGGCCAGGGGAGCAAACGGG